ACACACGGUGAUGGAGGGGAGCAGCCCGGGCGUGAACGCGGGCACCGGCACACGGGAGCCAAGAGCACGCAUGCGCACACAAAUGCAUUCAUUCUGCUACUGGCGAGCCGCGGCGCUGAGAGGCAUCUCCGGCAGCUGUCUGCGCGCUGUAGGCGGCACGGGUGGUGCUGCUGCUUCGGCAUCGCCUGAGGUGACUUGGCAUUACUGUUGCUCGCCCGCGUGAAGCGCUGGUGGCGGCGGCGCACAUUUUGCGUUGUCGCGCCCCGGGCAGCGCGGUGACUGUGCCUGCGGGACGGUCCACCCGCCGUCGUCUACGGAAGAGCGGCGGGGGACGGCCCGGGAUGCCUGGUGGGUUGUGUGCGCCGCACGCGCCCGGCGGGCAGGGUGGGGAUGCUCAGGGCCGGCAAGAGGGGCCGUGCCGUGGGGCGGUCCGGCGUGUACGUGAAGGGCGCCGUCGCCAGGGUGAUGGGCAUUGCGACCUGGACGCUGCUGACGGAUGCUGGCGAAGGGGUGCGCUGCUGGAUGUAAGAGACCUGCUCGGCAGACACCUCCCGCUGCUUUCGCUACUCGGCGGCCUCGUGCAGCGGGCGAGCCACUACCAGCGCCACUUCAUGCCGCUGCGGGAACUGCUGCGUGCGCGACCCGACCGGCGUGCCGGCCCCACAGAGCCCGGCGAUCGUGUCGGAGGAAGGUGGCGCAGCGCUCAAGGCGGCCGACAUGAUUGAGCGCUGCAGCUGCCGCAGCUGCGUGGCCGGCUGCGUCCUCUCCGCGAUGGGUGAGGAAGAGGGUCUGAUGAGGAGACGGCUCAUGCUGUGGCCGCGGAGGGAUACAUGGCUGGUGUCUAUCUGGACUGCUCGCCGUGGCUCUGCGUGCUGUGCAACGUUGGUGGAGUGGCGGACCGGAAAGCGUUACGCCCUGAAGCGAUGCAAGCGAUGGCAACACGAUUGACUGGUGGCCCCCUGCAACGCCGCGCGACGUGCUAGGCAUGUGCGAGUCGAUGUGUGGGCAGGCCGUAUGCAGAUUGCAGGCACCUGUCGUGCCGUAAAGCAGGCAGCGGGGCCGGUGAUUCAGGCGGCAUGCCGGUUGAAGGUCACUGUCAACCGUGACGAAGCUGAGGUCGCCCCACCUCCCCUCCUCCUCAGGCAUGCGUUCGCAAGGGUGGUUCACGACAGCGAGACGGGCGAUGUGUGUAAUGGAGGAAAACCUAUCGGGGAGCGGCGCGCGGCGUCAGCUGGGCACGUGGCAAUGGAAUGGCCCGAGCGUUCUUGCGAUGUCUGCGGCUCAGGGCCGGAGUCGUGAUGGUUCCUGCUCAAGGAGUGUGAUGGUUUCUCGCAGGGGCGGGGCGGCUGUCCUGCAAUGCAUCGCGUUUUAUUGCUUGGUGGACGAUCGCUGGCCGCACUGUCCUUGGAGCGCCCAGGGUGCGUUGGGCAAGCGACACAGGUGGGCUGCAGCGAGCAUGCGACGGCGCAGCAGGCCGCCAACGAUAACCGGUGCGGUGUACGGCCUCUGCACCGACGCGACAUUGGGCAGACGGGGAGCCGCGUGCAUGAAGCGGGCGGCAGAGCAAGCCGGCUUCACGGGCACGCGAGGGGGCCACAGCCCCGCCGAGCGUGUAGGUGCGGCAGCGCACCGAGCGGUGCCUUCGCGCUCUUUGUGUGGAACUGCAGGGCCGCCUGAUCUAUCGGCGCACCUUCAUGUGGGUAGCACGUCUGUCAUCGCUGCUUUCCACAAGGGCUGCUCACGAAGUCAUGCAGUCAACGCAGAGCUUCAUGAAUGCGUGCCUCCCCUGUCAUACGUGAUGUACACCCUGUUACAUUG
rnacentral:misc_RNA from 1 species